rnacentral:rRNA from 1 species
GACGAACGCUGGCGGCGUGCCUAAUACAUGCAAGUAGGACGCAGUUGCGAACGGGUGAGUAACGCGUAGGUAAAUGCAUAUAAGAGGGGGGUAACUAUUGGAAACGAUAGCUAAUACCGCAUACUAGUAGAUGGACCUGCGUUGUAUUAGCUAGUAGGUAGGGUAAUGGCCUACCUAGGAGACGAUACAUAGCCGACCCGAGAGGGUGAUCGGCCAACCUGGGACCGAGACCCGGCCCAGACUCCUACGGGAGGCAGCAGUAGGGAAUCUUCGGCAAUGGGGGGAACCCUGACCCAGCAACGCCGCGGGAGUGAAGAAGGUUUUCGGAUCGUAAAGCUCUGUUGUUAAGGAAGCGGUACUUAACCAGAAAGCGACGGCUAACUACGUGCCAGCAGCCGCGGUAAUAC